rnacentral:rRNA from 1 species
AGCGAACGCUGGCGGCAGGCCUAACACAUGCAAGUCGAACGAACCUUUCGGGGUUAGUGGCGGACGGGUGAGUAACACGUGGGAACGUGCCUUUAGGUUCGGAAUAACUCAGGGAAACUUGUGCUAAUACCGAAUGUGCCCUUCGGGGGAAAGAUUAAUCGCCUUUAGAGCGGCCCGCGUCUGAUUAGCUAGUUGGUUGAGGUAAUGGCUCACCAAGGCGACGAUCAGUAGCUGGUGUGUGAGGAUGAUCAGCCACAUUGGGACUGAGACACGGCCCAAACUCCUACGGGAGGCAGCAGUGGGGAAUCUUGCGGGAUGGGCGAUAGCCUGACGCAGCCAUGCCGCGUGAAUGAUGAAGGUCUUAGGAUUGUAAAAUUCUUUCACCGGGGACGAUAAUGACGGUACCCGGAGAAGAAGCCCCGGCUAACUUCGUG